GGGACAACAGUUGGAAACGACUGCUAAUACCGCAUAAGCCCACGGAUUCGCAUGGAUCUGCGGGAAAAGGAUUUAUUCGCUCUAGGAUGGACUCGCGUCCAAUUAGCUAGUUGGUGAGGUAACGGCCCACCAAGGCGACGAUUGGUAGCCGGACUGAGAGGUUGAACGGCCACAUUGGGACUGAGACACGGCCCAGACUCCUACGGGAGGCAGCAGUGGGGGAUAUUGCACAAUGGGGGAAACCCUGAUGCAGCGACGCCGCGUGGAGGAAGAAGGUUUUCGGAUUGUAAACUCCUGUCGUUAGGGACGAUAAUGACGGUACCUAACAAGAAAGCACCGGCUAACUACGUGCCAGCAGCCGCGGUAAAACGUAGGGUGCAAGCGUUGUCCGGAAUUACUGGGUGUAAAGGGAGCGCAGGCGGACCGGCAAGUUGGAAGUGAAAACUAUGGGCUCAACCCAUAAAUUGCUUUCAAAACUGCUGGCCUUGAGUAGUGCAGAGGUAGGUGGAAUUCCCGGUGUAGCGGUGGAAUGCGUAGAUAUCGGGAGGAACACCAGUGGCGAAGGCGACCUACUGGGCACCAACUGACGCUGAGGCUCGAAAGCAUGGGUAGCAAACAGGAUUAGAUACCCUGGUAGUCCAUGCCGUAAACGAUGAUUACGAGGUGUUGGAGGAUUGACCCCUUCAGUGCCGCAG
rnacentral:rRNA from 1 species